rnacentral:rRNA from 1 species
GUCGGUGACGAUAGACCUUGGGUCACACCUGUUCCCAUCCCGAACACAGUAGUUAAGCCAAGGUCGCCGAUGAUACUGCUCAGCGGGAAAGUAGGUUGUUGCCGGCG